CUCUUACCCAUGUCUUUUGAGUACUUACGUUUCCUCGGCGGGUCCGCCCGCCGAUUGGACAAAAUUAAACCCUUUGCAGUUGCAAUCAGCGUCUGAAAAACAUAAUAGUUACAACUUUCAACAACGGAUCUCUUGGUUCUGGCAUCGAUGAAGAACGCAGCGAAAUGCGAUAAGUAGUGUGAAUUGCAGAAUUCAGUGAAUCAUCGAAUCUUUGAACGCACAUUGCGCCCCUUGGUAUUCCAUGGGGCAUGCCUGUUCGAGCGUCAUUUGUACCUUCAAGCUUUGCUUGGUGUUGGGUGUUUGUCUCGCCUUUGCGUGUAGACUCGCCUCAAAACAAUUGGCAGCCGGCGUAUUGAUUUCGGAGCGCAGUACAUCUCGCGCUUUGCACUCAUAACGACGACGUCCAAAAGUACAUUUUUACACUCUUGACCUCGGAUCAGGUAGGGAUACCCGCUGAACUUAAGCAUAUCAAUAAGCGGAGGA
rnacentral:rRNA from 1 species